GGUUAAGUUAGAAAGGGCGCACGGUGGAUGCCUUGGCACUAGGAGCCGAAGAAGGACGGGACUAACACCGAUAUGCUUUGGGGAGCUGUACGUAAGCGUUGAUCCAGAGAUUUCCGAAUGGGGGAACCCACUAUCUUUAGUCGGAUAGUAUCCUUACGUGAAUACAUAGCGUGAGGAAGGCAGACCCAGGGAACUGAAACAUCUAAGUACCUGGAGGAAGAGAAAGAAAAAUCGAUUUCCUGAGUAGCGGCGAGCGAAACGGAAAGAGCCCAAACCAAGAAGCUUGCUUCUUGGGGUUGUAGGACACUCUAUACGGAGUUACAAAAGAAAGUUAUAAAUGAAGCGGUCUGGAAAGGCCCGCCAAAGACGGUAACAGCCCGGUAGUUGAAAUGGCUUUCCCUCCAGAGUGGAUCCUGAGUACGGCGGAACACGUGAAAUUCCGUCGGAAUCCGGGAGGACCAUCUCCCAAGGCUAAAUACUCCCUAGUGACCGAUAGUGAACCAGUA
rnacentral:rRNA from 1 species